ACGGAAAAUGUCGCUGCCGAGGGGAGUUCCCUUCGUGAAGUUGGUGCCGGCCUGGCCGGCUGCUGCAGCUUGAGCGGAGACCAGAGCAUCCCUUCCCCACGUUCCAUUAAGUCGGCUCCAACCUUGCUGUGGCUGUGUUCACAUUAGGGCUUAGUUUUUGUGCACGUCUUUUUUUCUUAAAUAACAUAGUAUUUUGAUAUAUACUUAAUAAACUGCUUUAUAAACGUCUUCAAACGUUUAAACGUCUGUAAUCGUUUGUGAGUUCGGAUGCACUGUCUAGAAUUGCAGGUGAGCAGACAGACUCGGAAAGUAAAGGCUCCCCUCGGUUCCCAGACGAGGAGACUAGUUCAGCCUUAAGUACCUCCUUGAGAGCAAAGACCACGUUUCCGUUUCCUCAUCAAAUCCAUGGCGUCGAGCAAAGUAGGUACUAACUGAAAACAGCCAAGUGGUAAACCCAGAAAACACUAAAUGUGACUCAAAGGCCAAGGUUAGUAUUUGCAUGUUGGCCUUUUCCAAGUUGAGAAGAAUCAGAGAUUCAUUUUAUUCUGCCGCAAAUACUCCUUAAUAGCAGGAUGUGCUUGUUUGGUGUAGAUCUAGAGGUAAGAGUGACCAGCUCGGUACUUGGGAACUGCUCGCCUUUGUAAGUUACCUGCUGGCCGCCAGGCACUGUUCUGAGCCCUCGAGUUGCAUCAAGUCAUUUAAUCUUCAGGAAAACCCAAUCAACCCUAUUUCACAGAUGAGGGAACUGAAGCCUGGACAAGUUACAUAAUUUGCCCAGGGUCAUACAGAUGGUAGCAGAGUCAGGAAUGAAAACCCAGGCAGCCUCGUGUCAGAGUUGGCGCCCUUGAUGCUGAGCAUCCCUUACAAAGUGAGUGAACCAGUGGAGUUACCAGUCUCUGAAGAUAUUAAGUGAAACGGGUGAAACUGAUAGAAGAGUUUGAUACCCAACUUAAGGCUUAAAACUUGGUAAGAUCAAGUCCUCACUGGUAACUAGAGCUACCUGCCACUAUGCCUUUUGCAGCCCCUCUUUGAAGGUACGUGUAGCCACAGUAGAUCUGGGCAGUUUUCUCACUGGCCGUCGUCAGAUACCAGCUGUUGCUGGAAGGUGAGGGAGGAGCAGAAUAGAGUGAGCACAGCAGCCCUGCCUUCGGAGAAAGAAGCAGCAGCAUUUUAUCCCUUCUCUUGAACUCUGCUUUGACCUCCGGCUGACAUGAGAUGGGGCAUUUUGGGCUCAGCUCCAGUGGGGGCAGACGUGGAAGCCCCUUGAGUAAAAUGAUAGUCAAGCAGGCAGCUGGCUCUUUGGGGACCCCUUCCUGUGUUUAUGGCCUCUGCUUGCUAAGGCACCCUUCUUGCUUUGGGGGUGUGGUAACAAUCUGACGGGGUCACCAAGCCCCUGUGGGCGCUGGAACGUGUGGACUCCAAAGUGUACGGCGCGCUCCCCGUUGUUCGUGUUUCCACCCGUAAAGAGCCCCACGUGUGAAAGCGCAGCUCGUUAUGACUCAAAUCCUGGUGACUCGAAAACUUAGACGUUUUCCACCACAGGGCGACUUCGGUGUUCGGCUUCCUCGUUGGCCCCCAGUGACCCACCUCCCCACACAAUGCCCCUGUCUAUGCUUUGCUCUGGCGAAGGAGUAAAGGGCAUAUUCCGCCUCCUCUCUCCCCACUGGUGCAGAGGGAGGCCUGGGAGUCAGUUGCUUGGCUCGGGUCACUGAGACUCAAAACACCUGUCCUCCUAAAAAGACAAAAAGCCAAAAACCUGUCCCAUAAAGUGUUCUUCUGGGUGAUUUCUUUCUUUUUUUUUUUGUCUUUUUGUCUUUUUGCUAUUUCUUGGGCUGUUCCCGCAGCAUAUGGAGGUUCCCAGGCUAGGGGUUGAAUCGGAGCUGUAGCCACCGGCCUCCGCCAGAGCCACAGCAACGCAGGAUCCGAGCCGUGUCUGCAACCUACACCACAGCUCACGGCAACGCCGGAUCGUUAACCCACUGAGCAAGGGCAGGGACCGAACCCGCAACCUCAUGGUUCCUAGUCGGAUUCGUUAACCACUGCACCAAGACGGGAACUCCUGGGUGAUUUCUUCAAAAGUUGUUAACACUGGGCUGUGUCUCCAUGAUGCCGCAGGGACAGCCACAAAUUAGAAGCUAAUCUGAUAAUCCUGCAGUGUGAUAACGAGCAUUUAUUUUGAAGUCCUCUGUGGGGUCAGAUUCUCCGCAUAUUCUUUGAGCUGUUGUUCAUGGGUUGCAGCUGGUUUAUAUACCCCUCCCCUUCCUCUAUUAGACUGUAAACUCCCACCGGGACCCUUGCACUGAACAGAAGGAUGGGCGUCUCUUCCGUGGGAGAGCCUACACAGGGCAGGCUGAACCCAGUGAUGGCGUCGUCUUAACUGGCCACGGCGCUCUCAUCACCGCGCUGUCUAAUAACCCAGAGGGUCCAUUCUCCUGAGCGUACGUUUAUGAACUGGUUGAAAGGGAUCAAGAAGCAAGGGGUGCCCGGGGCUGUGGCUGACUGCGGGGUAACCUCAGAACCUCCGCAGGAUGCUCUCGGCCCAAUAGCUCAUGGUCGUUGUCGUGUCUCCUAUCAUAAGGCAUGAAAGCUGGAAGCCUUCCCACAGAAUCUACCAUCAUCCCCAGGCAGAACGGGGAUUAAUCCAUUCUAAG
ensembl:lncRNA